rnacentral:tRNA from 1 species
CAGAAGUAGUUCAGCGGUAGAAUACAACCUUGCUGGGACCAAGGGGUCGCAGGUUCGAAUCCUGUCUUCCCG